ACGGGGAGCACCACAACAGUGGAGCCUGCGGUUUAAUCGGACUCAACGCCGGGAAACUCACCAGAUAAGACAGCUGAAUGAUAGUCGGGCUGAAGACUCUACUUGACUAGCUGAGAGGAGGUGCAUGGCCGUCGUCAGUUCGUACUGUGAAGCAUCCUGUUAAGUCAGGCAACGAGCGAGACCCACGCCAACAGUUGCCAGCUCGUCCUCCGGGAUGGUGGGGACACUGUUGGGACCGCCUCUGCUAAAGAGGAGGAAGGAAUGGGCAACGGUAGGUCAGCAUGCCCCGAAUUAUCUGGGCUACACGCGGGCUACAAUGGGUGGGACAAUGGGUAUCGACACCGAAAGGUGAAGGCAAUCUCCUAAACCCAUCCGUAGUUCGGAUUGUGGGCUGCAACUCGCCCACAUGAAGCUGGAAUCUGUAGUAAUCGUGUCUCAAAAUGGCACGGUGAAUAUGUCCCUGCUCCUU
rnacentral:rRNA from 1 species